CAAGUGGUACUGUCUUCUACUGUUCCAGAACAUCAUGAAGGAAUCUAAUGGUCGCUGUGCACACAAUUCCAUGGAGAGUCUACAUGGCAACUGGUCAUCAUUAUCAUUAUCACGACAUGAAGCCGGAAUCCAUGGAAGGAGCAAGCCACACAAGUCUCCCUGUGGGCUGCAGCUGACCUCUCCCCUUGAAAUAUCCGACACCCCCAACACUGUGCUUGAGCCACCCGGGAGAGAGAAAGGAACUUCCGUGAUUGGAUACAUAGGUGGCAGCCACCUAACCAAGCUUUCUCCCAUUUUCCGUCACCUGAUACUUCAGAGGGCGCUUAACAGAUUGCCUGGUUUUGGGUGUUGGGCUCUGUGGUGUAUGUCACUGUAGGUGGGGACAGGAUGGUUAGGACAGUGAAGAAGAGGCACUUGGAGGAAUUCAUCAUUGUGGUCAGACGUGAUCGAAGGGGGGUUAUACCCCUUUUCAGAAGGACUCCUGUCCUGGUGUGUGAAGGUUUACAGGGCAGAGAAUCUUGGUGCGGAAGGGUUGAGGAAUAGUGUUCCCUGCUCUGGCUUGGUCUGUGAAAAAUGAAACAGCGCCAGAUGCAAGCACUGCCAAGCGCAAAUUUAUACACUUCAAAGAAUUUUUACUUUUUCAAUCAGAAAAAGACAUGAGAUUCCAGACUCUAGACUCUCUAUUUCAGUCCCAAAUUGCCAAAUUGCUGAUGUUGCAGUCUUUCUUAGAAUUUGUUUGGAGAAAGCAGCAAAGGGACGAAAAGGAAAAACUGUGUUUUACCCAAAUGAGCUCCCUGAAUUUGUAGAGUGUGUUAUUAAGCAAAGCUGUGUUGGGGCAAGAAUCAUUUUACAUUCCUAAAGGGUGACGCUCUGAGGCUCUUCAGCCUCGGGGCUGGUAAAACUCUGGAGAGAGGACAGAGGAGGAGAAUUCAAAAAUAACGGAGAAUCUGGAGCUUAAUGUGGGAAGGAGGAAAGGCAAGCACUUUCUAAACGCUCGCCUAGCCUUCUUAGCCCACAUGACACUGGCUGAGUCCCAAGCGCCUGGCUGGCUGCAGAAGGGCGGCCCCUCACGGGGGCGGAGCUUGUGGCGCUGAGGCCCCUCCCACCAGUCAGGUGCCCCAGUGCCUGCAGGAAACAAGGCCAGGAAGUCUCCCUGGGGCUCCCCCGGCGUGCCUUGUUUAAUGCCCUGAUUCAUAUGGACUGAACCCUUCCUGACACACGGGCUACCUAAAUAUGAAGUUCCCUCCUUCCACGAGCAUCGAAUGAGCACCUACAGUAUACCAGCCAGAGGGUCCCCACGGCCAACGCACUACGCAUUACGUCAUCGUAAGUCAGCCAGACGCUGGCUGGGCUGCAGCCCGCAGAGGGCAUGGCAGGGGCUCCAGGUGGAACAGUGCGCGGAUAGAGGGGGGAACCUUGCUGCAGAACAUCUAAGAUGUUAGCCUGGGGAGGCGGGGAGGCAGAUGGAAGGUGAGGAGCCAUGGAUGAUCUGGACAUCUUGAAAGGCCUUGAGGCAUCAGGUGGGUCCUCGUCCAAGGAGCUGGAAAUUCGUCUCUGUCUUCCCUGUCGUCUGUCCUAAGUGGUCUUGGUAUUUUCAGUCCCGUCAUGCCUUGACCCCCAGAAUUCUCUUUCCGAUGUUGGAAGGAUCCUUGAAGUGAUCCAGAGCAAAUGCUUCCUUUACUUGAGAAAACCAAGGACCAGAGAUGUGAGGAGACCUGCCCGGAGCCACAGACCUGCCGUGGGAGAGAUGGGACCAGACUCUGUUCCCAGAACGUCCAGGUUCACCUUGCCUCUCCUGAGUGACCGCUGCAACCACGCUGUCUCCUUCUGAUACUUCAUAAUAUAUUCCCAGGCUCCUGGCACACCUUCCAGGCCCCACGUGGAGACAGCACCCACACCAGGCUACGUACCCUUACUGAAUGACCAGGCCCUGAUCAGCCACGGUUGCCUGGAGCCGUGCAGCCUGCGGGGAACAAGGGACCACAGCCAACAAUCUGGAGUUCUCACCUUGGCCUUGCUGCUAAACCAACCCAAGCCACAGGAUGUCCCCAGUGACUUGAAUUCCUCCAUCCAUAGACUGAAGCUGUGUCUGACCUAUAUCCCCAGAGUCUGGGAGAGGCUGUCAUUGACCACUUAACAUGCACUGCUGUGCUAGGUAUGGCACUGGGUACGUCUCUACCACACACUGCACUGGUUUUACUACAGUGCCCAUCUCUAGCUGUCACCUUCCUGUUCAUUUGUCACUUGGCUUAUUCCGCUUUGUCUAUUGCCCAUCUCCUCCUACUAAAGUGCAGAUUCCUUGGACACAGAAGAAGCGUCUUCCCUGUUUGCUGUUGAAUCCCUGUGAAAGACUGUCCACCCUUCAGUGAGCUAGCUGUCUGCUGAAUCAGAUGGGAUAGUGCAUAUAAAAACAUCGCGUGCAAUAACACGUAGGGUGUUGUUUUUAUGGUGUUGCUUUAGCUGGUUCUUGACCUGCUGAGCCCUGUGCUCUCCAGACGUUUAUCCAAAAGCAUAGCUGAGAGAAGAACCUAGCAAUCCUCUCUCCUCCCUUUCCAGUUGGCAAGUUCUUCUAGAGUUUCCACUGAAUUGUUGGGCUUUCUGACCGCUGUUCAUCCCACAGGAGAUCUGGAGUCUCUGUACAUCUCACAAGGCUGCAUUAGUAUUUAUUCAGGUGGUGCCUUUACUAACGUUG